AUUGAGCGCUGGCGGCAUGCUUUACACAUGCAAGUCGAACGGUAACAGGCCGCAAGGUGCUGACGAGUGGCGAACGGGUGAGUAAUGCAUCGGAACGUGCCCAGUCGUGGGGGAUAACGCAGCGAAAGCUGUGCUAAUACCGCAUACGAUCUAUGGAUGAAAGCGGGGGACCGUAAGGCCUCGCGCGAUUGGAGCGGCCGAUGCCAGAUUAGGUAGUUGGUGGGGUAAAGGCCUACCAAGCCAACGAUCUGUAGCUGGUCUGAGAGGACGACCAGCCACACUGGGACUGAGACACGGCCCAGACUCCUACGGGAGGCAGCAGUGGGGAAUUUUGGACAAUGGGCGCAAGCCUGAUCCAGCAAUGCCGCGUGCAGGAAGAAGGCCUUCGGGUUGUAAACUGCUUUUGUACGGAACGAAACGGUCUGGGUUAAUACCCUGGACUAAUGACGGUACCGUAAGAAUAAGCACCGGCUAACUACGUGCCAGCCGCCGCAGUAACAC
rnacentral:rRNA from 1 species